rnacentral:rRNA from 1 species
UACGAAGGGGGCUAGCGUUGCUCGGAAUCACUGGGCGUAAAGCGCACGUAGGCGGCUUUUUAAGUCAGGGGUGAAAUCCAGGAGCUCAACUCCAGAACUGCCUUUGAUACUGAGAAGCUUGAGUCCGGGAGAGGUGAGUGGAACUGCGAGUGUAGAGGUGAAAUUCGUAGAUAUUCGCAAGAACACCAGUGGCGAAGGCGGCUCACUGGCCCGGUACUGACGCUGAGGUGCGAAAGCGUGGGGAGCAAACAGG